rnacentral:lncRNA from 1 species
CAGGCGGAGGAUUAGCCUAUUGAGCUGUGGCACUGGCCUAACAAAUGCACUUUUAAUUACAUAUAUUUGUAUAAAGUGACCCUUGAACAAUGCAGGCUUUGGGAUGCUGACACCUCCACAGCAAAACAAAAAGAAUUUAAGAACCUUGUGAAAAGAUUGUUGCAGCUUUUUUACUAUUUUAAAAGAUUAAAGUUGUCAACUUUAAAAUGAAUUUCUGAAAAUUGUCAACUUGAUCAGCUUUAAGAACAAGUAGAUCACUUCUGACUCUACUGAAUAGCAAGCAUGAAGUGAUUCCCUAUACUGCUGCAUCAUGGAGAAGUACUUGUACAUGGAGAUGUACAAGGACCUUGAUGAAGAUGAGCUCCUUGGGAAUCCGUCCGAAGUGGAACUGAAACAACUGGAAACUGUCUGGAUGAUCUUGAUCCUGAGCAAACUGGGCAAAUGCCUUUGCAAUGGUGACAACUAAUUGGCAUGUCGAGUGUGCACAAAUUAACUAUCAGCUCUGAAACUGGAUUGCCUUGUAAGGUAAUCACAUCUAUUGACCAAGACUAGACUUGGUUGGAAAGUUG